CCGAUAGCGAACAAGUACCUUGAGGGAAAGUUGAAAAGAACUUUGAAGAGAGAGUUCAAGAGUGCGUGAAACCAUCGAGAGGAAAACGGAUGGCACCUCGAAGGUCGAACGGGAGCAUUCAGCCUGUCGGCGUGUCCGGCGCGGGUGCGCGGUCUCACCGUCCUCGUGGCGGCCCGCGCCCCGUCUCGUCCGGGCCGUCGGCUGGCGUACUUGCUCCCCAGUAGGUCGCCGCGACCCGUUACCGUGCGCGGUCGAAGGCCCGUCGGGUCGGCAUCUGCUCCCUUCACCGGGGGGCAGAGAAGCCCGUGCGGUGUCCUGACUCGCCGGGUGACGGUCGUACAGCCAGUGCCCGCCUGUCUGCGCUGUGUUCACACAGCCAGCGGGCGUCCCCCUCUCUCUCUCUCGCUCGCGGUGGAGAGAGUCGGCUGGGACCGUGGCGCUUGUCCGCGGCGUGUAGUUCGGCGGACCAUCCGACCCGUCUUGAAACACGGACCAAGGAGUCUAACAUGUGUGCGAGUCAUUGGGCGUUGUCGAACCCCAAAGGCACAAUGAAAGUGAAGGCCGUCCCCCGUGGACGGCCGUGGGCCGAUCCGUCUCUCUGGAGGCGGCGCAGGCCCGGGACUGGCGCGCCCCAUCGCGGGCGCGCGAGUACCAUGAGCACCCAUGCUGGGACCCGAAAGAUGGUGAACUAUGCCUGGCCAGGAUGAAGCCAGAGGAAACUCUGAUGGAGGUCCGCAGCGAUUCUGACGUGCAAAUCGAUCGUCAGAGC
rnacentral:rRNA from 1 species